UGAAGUGUGUCAGCCACUAAAAAUGGGCUGGCAGGGCACAGCAAGGGUUAAAGAAUGACUGGAAAACAGCAAAAUGGGAAAAUUUCAACAUUUCAGCAAGGGAAUAAGCUGCCAUUGUGCCCAGCUUCUUUUUUAAACAAUGGACCUGAUCAUCACCACCCACCUCCACCAGGAAAGGGAAAACCAUCACUUUAAAGAAAGACACCCAAAUUCUGCAUUUUAUUAUGAAUAAAUAGAAGUCAAGAUG